rnacentral:lncRNA from 1 species
CUGCAUUCUCUUUGUUUUUUGCUAUAGCUCUUUCCUCCAUGAAGCAACUGGAAUCUACUGGGAUGGUGAUGAUGGUGAUGGCUACAUUCCUGGGGGACCAUAUCCACCUUACCCCUCCUCUACCAAGAAGGAAGAACAAAGAAAACCUUCCCUUGGAGCACAAGGCAAGGAUGUCAGCAUCCUGUGUCACCAUGGCAACUAGCCCCUACUCAGGCUCCUCAUAAGGAGCAGAAAAGCAAAAGUCAAAUAGAUCUUCCGCUGGAACAUUCUGUGGGCAAACACUGGGACCAGGGUGUUUGAACCUCUGCGUCCCCACUUAAAUAGGGUGAAUCACUCCUGCAACUGGAGCUAGGAAGCCGGCCAGGUUCCUAAAUAGGUAAGGUUAAUGGUGCUCUUGGAGAGCAUUUGCGUCACUUUGAAAAUUAAUCCUUUUUCCUCCAGAAUCUGAGUUUAUAAACGAGCAGAAUUAGAAAUUAAAGGGAAGAAACAGAUGGGAGUUCCUAGCAAGGGAUUUGAGAGCGUUACAGUUAGGCUGACAUCAUUCAUCUUUUAGCAAGAUCUUACCCAUUU